GAGGAAGCCUUUUUCUGGUUGUCAGUAUCAUCUUUCCACAGGUUCAAAUCCAGCUCCCAUGGCAGCCAUAGCAUCCGCUGCAGUGUGUGGGGGAUGGCAUGCUCUGUUACUCAAAAGGGUCCAUAUUCAUCCAGGAAUAAACUACUCCAGAAGACAAGAAGUAUUCUGUUCCACUGAAAACAUUAAGCAUCUCUCCGUCUUAUACUGCUAUUUUAAUGAUGGCUUUAACUUUUUAAUUUUUAAAUUAAUUAUUUUUUUUCAGUACUGGGAAUGGAACCCAGCACUCAUGCAUGCUAGGUUGUGACGCAGCAAAGGGGUCCCUGGCAACCAGCGGUGCCAUGCUCUUUGGACUUCCCAACCUUCAGAAUCGAGUCCAAUAAACUUCUUUUCCUAAUACUCCAUCCAG
ensembl:lncRNA